GUACAUUCCAGUGUACAGGAAAAAUUGUUUAUUCAGAUACAAUUUAUUUGUACAAUCUUCAAACUGCAGUAUCAACUAAAUCAGCCUCAUACAUCACUUCAAUAUAAGCUUGGGUGAUAUCUUUUUCAGCCCGAGCAAGUCCAAUAUCUCUGCAGCAAAAAAAGUCAAAGACCUGAGCAGCAAAAAAAAAGUCAAAGACCUGAGCAGCAAAAAUUUACGAGUGAAGUUACCACCAGUGGAAUUCAGAACCAAAGGAAAAUGAGAGGCCCAAGAUAGAUCAGCCGAGGUUAAUGCACUACAUCGACCUGACUCAAACUCCAUGUUGAUUUUUCAGCAGCAUAUCUUGUUGCGGUUCUCCUCCCAACCAAUCAAUCCAUGCGACGGUCUUGUUAGACUGUAGGAAUACAAUUACAAACUAUAAGAAAUGGGAUCAACGAACCCUGUACAAUUUGCAACAGCUAUUAAUUUCAGGAAACAAACCAAAAAAUGGUUUCUAAUUCUAACUGCAAUCUACUUUCAGGGAUGCACAUUAGUGCAGAUCAUUCAGUACAAUAUUUUUUGCCUAGUACACUGAAAAAUCAAGGGGGCAAGUAAGUGCAGUCCCAUAGCAAAAUUCCUCUAUACAGAAAAUAACCUCUCAAUACAGAAAACAGUAACGGUCAGAAGUUCAGAACAGAACUCGCAAUGGACAACAGCAUUCAGAAGGUUGUAUCUUUCACUAUACUCAGCGAAAAUUUCAGAAUAAAUUAUCCUUGGAAAUUUCAAACCAAAUACUUAAAAUACAUCCAUAGACCCAUGGACAGAUUCAGCCUUGAAGUUACUUUAAAACGCCGCGCAAAAUAGUUACUCAUGCCUGAAACUGCAGUCUGACGAAGACAGACAGUAACUUCAGAUAGGAAUAUCUCCUAGAAUAUCUGACAAAAAAUUGCAAAUAAAUAUUCGUUCGAAAUGUCUUGAAAAGAUAUACAACUUUUAUUUUAAUGGUCCGGUCAUAUUCAACACCUAAAACCCUCAAAACGUAAUCGAUCAGUUACUGCACGCACUGCAAACCGAGUUGUGCAAAACAGACUUGCGAAAACAAACAACAAUAAUGGAAGGAUUACUUCACUUCAUACCUACAACAGAUCACGCCCCUGCCUUCUCUAUUUCGCUCUUUCUAUCUCUUCCCUGCAGCAAACCUG
rnacentral:lncRNA from 1 species